rnacentral:rRNA from 1 species
UACGAAGGGGGCUAGCGUUGUUCGGAAUCACUGGGCGUAAAGGGUGCGUAGGCGGGUCUUUAAGUCAGGGGUGAAAUCCUGGAGCUCAACUCCAGAACUGCCUUUGAUACUGAAGAUCUUGAGUUCGGGAGAGGUGAGUGGAACUGCGAGUGUAGAGGUGAAAUUCGCAGAUAUUCGCAAGAACACCAGUGGCGAAGGCGGCUCACUGGCCCGAUACUGACGCUGAGGCACGAAAGCGUGGGGAGCAAACAGG